GACGAACGCUGGCGGCGUGCCUAAUACAUGCAAGUUGAGCGCUGAAGGUUGGUACUUGUACCAACUGGAUGAGCAGCGAACGGGUGAGUACCGCGUGGGGAAUCUGCCUUUGAGCGGGGGACAACAUUUGGAAACGAAUGCUAAUACCGCAUAAAAACUUUAAACACAAGUUUUAAGUUUGAAAGAUGCAAUUGCAUCACUCAAAGAUGAUCCCGCGUUGUAUUAGCUAGUUGGUGAGGUAAAGGCUCACCAAGGCGAUGAUACAUAGCCGACCUGAGAGGGGGAUCGGCCACAUUGGGACUGAGACACGGCCCAAACUCCUACGGGAGGCAGCAGUAGGGAAUAUUCGGCAAUGGACGAAAGUCGGACCGAGCAACGCGGCGUGAGUGAAGAAGGUUUUCGGAUCGUAAAACUCUGUUGGUAGAGAAGAACGUGGGUGAGAGUGGAAAGCUCAUCAAGUGACGGUAACUACCCAGAAAGGGACGGCUAACUACGUG
rnacentral:rRNA from 1 species